AUACGUAGGGGGCGAGCGUUGUCCGGAAUGAUUGGGCGUAAAGGGCGCGUAGGCGGCCCGGUAAGUCUGGAGUGAAAGUCCUGUUUUUAAGAUGGGAAUUGCUUUGGAUACUGUCGGGCUUGAGUGCAGGAGAGGUAAGUGGAAUUCCCAGUGUAGCGGUGAAAUGCGUAGAGAUCGGGAGGAACACCAGUGGCGAAGGCGGGUAACUGGACUGCAACUGACGCUGAGGCGCGAAAGUGUGGGGAGCAGACAGGAUUAGAUACCCUGGUAGUCCACACUGUAAACAAUGAAUGCUAGGUGUAAGAGGUAUCGACCCCUUUUGUGCCGGAGUCAACACAAUAAGCAUUCCGCCUGGGGAGUACGGCCGCAAGGUUGAAACUCAAAUGAAUUGACGGGG
rnacentral:rRNA from 1 species